CACGUGAGUAACCUGCCCCUGACUCUGGGAGUAAGCGUUGGAAACGAACGUCUAAUACCGGAUAUGACUUACGGACGCAUGUUCUGUGGGUGGAAAGAAUUUUUCGGUUUGGGGAGUGGACUCGCGGCCUAUCAGCUUGUUGGUGAGGUAAUGGCUCACCAAGGCGACGACGGGUAGCCGGCCUGAGAGGGUGACCGGCCACACUGGGACUGAGACACGGCCCAGACUCCUACGGGAGGCAGCAGUGGGGAAUAUUGCACAAUGGGGGAAACCCGUGAUGCAGCCAUGCCGCGUGUGUGA
rnacentral:rRNA from 1 species